rnacentral:tRNA from 1 species
GCCCUGGUGGUGGAAUUGGUAGACACGCAGGACUUAAAAUCCUGUUCCUUAUGGGAGUACGGGUUCGAUUCCCGUCCGGGGCACCA